CGAUACUUUCCAGCUUGCUGGAGAGGAAAGUGGCGCACGGGUGCGUAACGCGUAUGCAACCUACCUUCAUCAGGGGGAUAGCCCGGAGAAAUCCGGAUUAAUACCGCAUAAAAUCACAGGAUGGCAUUAUCCAAUGAUCAAACAUUUAUGGGAUGGAGAUGGGCAUGCGUGUCAUUAGCUAGUUGGCGGGGUAACGGCCCACCAAGGCGACGAUGACUAGGGGAUCUGAGAGGAUGGCCCCCCACACUGGUACUGAGACACGGACCAGACUCGCUACGGGAGGCAGCAGUAAGGAAUAUUGGUCAAUGGAGGCAACUCUGAACCAGCCAUGCCGCGUGCAGGAAGACUGCCCUAUGGGUUGUAAACUGCUUUUAUCCGGGAAUAAACCUAAAUACGUGUAUUUAGCUGAAUGUACCGGAAGAAUAAGGAUCGGCUAACUCCGUGCCAGCAGCCGCGGUAAUACGGAGGAUCCAAGCGUUAUCCGGAUUUAUUGGGUUUAAAGGGUGCGUAGGCGGCCUGUUAAGUCAGGGGUGAAAGACGGUAGCUCAACUAUCGCAGUGCCCUUGAUACUGAUGGGCUUGAAUGGACUAGAGGUAGGCGGAAUGAGACAAGUAGCGGUGAAAUGCAUAGAUAUGUCUCAGAACACCGAUUGCGAAGGCAGCUUACUAUGGUCUUAUUGACGCUGAGGCACGAAAGCGUGGGGAUCAAACAGGAUUAGAUACCCUGGUAGUCCACGCCCUAAACGAUGAACACUCGCUGUUGGCGAUACACAGUCAGCGGCUAAGCGAAAGCGUUAAGUGUUCCACCUGGGGAGUACGCCCGCAAGGGUGAAACUCAAAGGAAUUGACGGGGGCCCGCACAAGC
rnacentral:rRNA from 1 species